AGAGUUUGAUCCUGGCUCAGGACGAACGCUGGCGGCGCGCCUAACACAUGCAAGUCGAACGAGCGAGAGAGAGCUUGCUUUCUCGAGCGAGUGGCGAACGGGUGAGUAACGCGUGAGGAACCUGCCUCAAAGAGGGGGACAACAGUUGGAAACGACUGCUAAUACCGCAUAAGCCCACGGGUCGGCAUCGACCAGAGGGAAAAGGAGCAAUCCGCUUUGAGAUGGCCUCGCGUCCGAUUAGCUAGUUGGUGAGGUAACGGCCCACCAAGGCGACGAUCGGUAGCCGGACUGAGAGGUUGAACGGCCACAUUGGGACUGAGACACGGCCCAGACUCCUACGGGAGGCAGCAGUGGGGAAUAUUGCACAAUGGGGGAAACCCUGAUGCAGCGACGCCGCGUGGAGGAAGAAGGUCUUCGGAUUGUAAACUCCUGUUGUUGGGGAAGAUAAUGACGGUACCCAACAAGGAAGUGACGGCUAACUACGUGCCAGCAGCCGCGGUAAAACGUAGGUCACAAGCGUUGUCCGGAAUUACUGGGUGUAAAGGGAGCGCAGGCGGGAAGACAAGUUGGAAGUGAAAUCUAUGGGCUCAACCCAUAAACUGCUUUCAAAACUGUUUUUCUUGAGUAGUGCAGAGGUAGGCGGAAUUCCCGGUGUAGCGGUGGAAUGCGUAGAUAUCGGGAUGAACACCAGUGGCGAAGGCGGCCUACUGGGCACCAACUGACGCUGAGGCUCGAAAGUGUGGGUAGCAAACAGGAUUAGAUACCCUGGUAGUCCACACCGUAAACGAUGAUUACUAGGUGUUGGAGGAUUGACCCCUUCAGUGCCGCAGUUAACACAAUAAGUAAUCCACCUGGGGAGUACGACCGCAAGGUUGAAACUCAAAGGAAUUGACGGGGGCCCGCACAAGCAGUGGAGUAUGUGGUUUAAUUCGACGCAACGCGAAGAACCUUACCAAGUCUUGACAUCCCUUGACAGACAUAGAAAUAUGUAUUCUCUUCGGAGCAAGGAGACAGGUGGUGCAUGGUUGUCGUCAGCUCGUGUCGUGAGAUGUUGGGUUAAGUCCCGCAACGAGCGCAACCCUUAUGGUCAGUUACUACGCAAGAGGACUCUGGCCAGACUGCCGUUGACAAAACGGAGGAAGGUGGGGAUGACGUCAAAUCAUCAUGCCCUUUAUGACUUGGGCUACACACGUACUACAAUGGCGUUAAACAAAGAGAAGCAAGACCGCGAGGUGGAGCAAAACUCAGAAACAACGUCCCAGUUCGGACUGCAGGCUGCAACUCGCCUGCACGAAGUCGGAAUUGCUAGUAAUCGUGGAUCAGCAUGCCACGGUGAAUACGUUCCCGGGCCUUGCACUCACCGCCCGUCA
rnacentral:rRNA from 1 species